GAUGAACGCUGGCGGCGUGCCUAAUACAUGCAAGUCGAGCGAACAGACGAGGAGCUUGCUCCUCUGACGUUAGCGGCGGACGGGUGAGUAACACGUGGAUAACCUACCUAUAAGACUGGGAUAACUUCGGGAAACCGGGGCUAAUACCGGAUAAUAUAUUGAACCGCAUGGUUCAAUAGUGAAAGACGGUUUUGCUGUCACUUAUAGAUGGAUCCGCGCCGCAUUAGCUAGUUGGUAAGGUAACGGCUUACCAAGGCAACGAUGCGUAGCCGACCUGAGAGGGUGAUCGGCCACACUGGAACUGAGACACGGUCUAGACUCCUACGGGAGGCAGCAGUAGGGAAUCUUCCGCAAUGGGCGAAAGCCUGACGGAGCAACGCCGCGUGAGUGAUGAAGGUCUUCGGAUCGUAAAACUCUGUUAUUAGGGAAGAACAAAUGUGUAAGUAACUAUGCACGUCUUGACGGUACCUAAUCAGAAAGCCACGGCUAACUACGUG
rnacentral:rRNA from 1 species